UACGCAGGGGGCUAGCGUUGUUAGGAAUAACUGGGCGUAAAGCGCAUGUAGGCGGAUCUUUAAGUCAGAGGUGAAAUCCCAGGGCUCAACCCCGGCAUUGCCUUUGAUACUGGAGAUCUGGAGUCUGGGAGAGGUGAGUGGAAUUCCGAGUGUAGAGGUGAAAUUCGUAGAUAUUCGGAGGAACACCAGUGGCGAAGGCGGCUCACUGGCCCGAGACUGACGCUGAGAUGCGAAAGCGUGGGGAGCAAACAGG
rnacentral:rRNA from 1 species